CAAAUGUCACACGCCCACUUUUCUCGUCUAUUGCUGCGCCAAACGCGGCCGUGCCAACUGAUGCGAGGAACAUGGCAGCCCAGCAACAUCUGACUGCCUCAGUUUUUAGCGCUUCCCGACACCAUAAUUCGUGGAAGAUUCCACCGAAUGCGUGAACGCAAUGUGCACCAGUGCUCGUUACAAUGUGGACUUUGAUGCUGCCGGCGUUCUGGCGACAUCGUUGGAAACCCCCGGGGAUGGCUUUGCACCGUGGAAAUCCAGGCUCUUAAAGAUGCUUCCAAAGAAUCCAAGCAAACAACCCGACCCAUUCAGUCUGCAGUGUGGGGCCCAGAGGUUGGCGUGUGCAGGGGAUCUCUUCCCAUGUGGUAUUUUGACCCUAGCUCAGGGGUCUGUCGUGGAUUUGUGUACGGUGGUUGUGGUGGAAACAGCAACAAGUUCUCAUCUUGUGAGGAAUGCAUGAACAGAUGCAGUGGCGAUUACCAUGUCAAAGGAAUAUGCAAGUAUCUUCGACGGAGAUUUUCCAAGCAGUUUCACCAGAGCACCGUAAUUCAAUCAAACCUCCGCCCAUGGCUACGUCAACAGCCAGCCACAAGAGGAAACCUACCGAGCGGUUUGAAAACGAGGGCGAGUAGUGAUCAAGAUUUUUCGUAUUUGACGGAAUAAAUUUCUGACUGCAAACAAAAA